GGGGCGGUAGCUCAGUUGGUAGAGCACGUGCUUUGCAAGCACGGGGUCGGGAGUUCGAAUCUCCUCCGCUCCA
rnacentral:tRNA from 1 species